rnacentral:rRNA from 1 species
UGCCAGCAGCCGCGGUAACACGUAGGGACCGAGCGUUGUCCGGAUUUAUUGGGCGUAAAGAGCUCGUAGGCGGUUCUGUAAGUCGGAUGUGAAAACUCAGGGCUCAACCCUGAGACGCCAUCUGAUACUGCAGUGACUAGAGUCCGGUAGAGGAAGAUGGAAUUCCUGGUGUAGCGGUGGAAUGCGCAGAUAUCAGGAGGAACACCAACGGCGAAGGCAGUCUUCUGGGCCGGUACUGACGCUGAGGAGCGAAAGCAUGGGGAGCAAACAGGAUUAGAUA